CCAUUUUACCACUCACAGAAAACAUCGAGCGAACGCUAUUUUCUACUUGUUGUAUAAAUUCAUCGCUUGAGACUCGUGAAUAAAUUGACGGAAAAUGCCUGCAUGUGCAGCUGUAAAGUGCACAAAUCGGCAGUUCAAAGGUUGUGGACGAACAUUUCACCUGUUUCCUUCGCGAUCUCCUGAAUUGGUGAGAGAAUGGGUGAAGAGAAUUGGCAGAGGAUUAGCCUGGGGACCAUCACCAACAGCUGUUCUGUGUUCCGAUCACUUCCAUGAAAGGUGUUUUGAUCGUACGGGACAAACAACGAGACUACGCAAUCUUGCAAUACCAACCAUCUUCCCAUUUAGUAUUUCAAAGAGCGGAAAAGUGCUGGACAUACCUAAGUCUGGAACUCUUUCAUACCUGGCCAGAGCUUUGGAAAUCGCUGAGCUGCCUGCAAAUCACAUGUUUAUGAAGUGUAAAGAUACAGAUACAAGCAACAGUGUUUCCACAGGUUCCACUUCAAAACCUACCACUUCCACCUUGCCCACUUCGGCACCUGACAGCGAUUCUCAGUCAAAGUCUGGGAAAACCAAGACGAAAGAAUUCACACAUGAUCACACAUACAGUAUAGUCAAUUGUCCCAAAGAUGUGAAGCACAAACUAGAUAUCAUCCACAACCAAAUGGAUCUGAUGAGUAGGAAAUUAAGACGAGCACAGACGAACCAAAAGAGACUCGGUGCGAAAGAGAAAUCUUUGUUACGUGAGGUGAAGAUGCUUAGGGCCAAACAACAAACAGCCCUUCAGAGGAUAGAAGAGAUCAGUGACAGCUUACAUUUUGGUCUCUGAGAUAUUGUGUUUUCUACAUGGACUUAUGCGUUUCAAGAUGAAAUCAGUGGAUUUCAAAGUAAUACGUGGUGAUUUCAAGGUCAUGUGGUUUUCUUGGUGCUUAUGUAGAUGGUCUAUGGACAAUCGUACACAUCACUAUCAAGUACCAACCACCCUGCAAGCUGCAAGAGGACAAAAAGUUUGGUUCUUCAAUUAUAUAUAUGGUUCUCGUUUAGAAAUUCCCAAUCAGUCUUCAACUUGAGAAUGGACCGGUUUACUAAUAUAUUCAAAUUUAUUUUAGGGAUGUUUCUUUCCUGGGGACCUAGUGACGAGUUAAUUAAACUUGCUAUUAAUGGAUGAACUACAAAAUUUGGAAUGCAAGCUGCAUACAUUAUUGAUUGCUAUGUCUGGCAUGUCUCAGGCAAGCUUUCAGGUUUUCAAGACCAACCUACAGUGUAUGUAUAAAAGGUAUGCAUACUUGCAUAGAGUUUGAAUAUGUUAGCAAACCUGUCUAUUAUUGACAUGUUGACUCGAGAAUUAUUGACAUGUUAGAACCUUAUAUAUAAAUUAUAUUAUGUAUUGUUAUGAAUAUGCAAAUUUGCAGUUCAGAAGCAAUAAAUCGGGUGAACAGAACAAAUUUAUCAGUAGCUGAUUGAUCCUUGAAAAGUAUAUGUAAUGCACGAUCUUUGAUUUCUCCAAAAUGAUGACAUUCCAGAGCAUACCGGUAGGCUGAUUUUCAUUACAAGGAAUUGAACUUUUUAGUCAAAGUCAUUAUGUUAAUAAAGGUCAGUAAUUCCAAUGAUUUUUAUGCCUCCGUUACGAAGUAGCCGGAGGCAUUAUGUUUUUAGGUUGUCCCUCCGUCCGUACGUGCGUACGUCCAUACGUCCGUACGUCCCGUUCUCGUGAUCGCGUUAUCUGAAGAACCGAUUGAUGGAUUCCUGCCAAACUUUGGUCAUAUAUGCAUCUUGUAGAGCUGAUGAACUGAUUAGAUUUUGGGGUAAUAUCAAUGUUUGUAUAGAUGCAAAUAGUUGUUUAACCGGUAACUUAUUUAUGAUUUGUGAAUAAAUUGAUAUUGCUGGUUUAAACAUGA
rnacentral:lncRNA from 1 species